ensembl:lncRNA
GGUCCAUCUGUUUAAAGAUGCAACAAGAUGAAAACAUGUCCUCCAUCUGCCACUCUCGCUUUUUUGUUGAACGAGCUGGGAUCCUGCAGAUGAGUGAGUGCUGUCUCCUGCCCGCUGGGACUGGUCUAGACCUGCUCCCAGCGCCAGUCCUACCACGUGCUAUUCCAGCAGGCAAGAAUCAGAGGCUUUGAAACUGUUCUUCUUGCAGAAGAACCCUCACCUGUGAUCUUGGAAGAAAAAGUUUUAAGAAACGAACAAAUUAUUAAUUUGGAAGCCAUCCUGGAGUUCUGAAAACUAAAAUCUGCUCUUUGAAAGACACUACAGGGAAAAUAUGUUUAAAUACUCAACUAAUAAGUAAUUCUAUUCCAUAAGUACCUUCUAGUCAUGGUAGAUAUUUACGAAUAGGUUGAACAAGAAAAAAUUAAGGUCAAUUCUUCUUGACCUGAGAAGCCUGAAAAAAAGUAGACAGUCUCAAACUUACUUCCUUUUACUCAGGGGAAAGGCAAUCUCGAGAUACAACAGUCUGGUUUCCAAGAGGGACCUGGAGAAGAGAGAAUGCAGGCAGCAGUGGCUGAAACAGAGCUGUCACCUACAGUUUGAAUAAUUUUAACACUAAUAUCAUUUACGUACAUUCAAGUGAACUCUUUUCUUUGUGCCCAGAUGGUGUAUUGACAUAACUGCUUUAAUGAAAAGAUCUUUUGACAACAAACGCGUUUUAGUUUUUGAAAGAGGAAGCAUUCCUUGUUGGGCUUAAUUGAUGAGGUUUAAAUAUCCUCUUUUUUCUAGGAAAUCUAGCUCUCUAACUCCUCUCGUGUUGUUAAUGCCCAGGGUGUAGGGAGCAAUGGACUGAGAGUGCCCACAUCCCCCAGGGCCUCACAGAACCAUCUCAUCGGGGGUCUGCUCCCUCUGUACCUCCACCUCCGCAUCUGUUUUGUGGGUAUCUUCCCAUAGCAGGCACUUUCCUCCUGUUCCUGAGGAGGUUGUAAGCCCGGAGAGACAAGGUGAGUGAGCAUGCCUUACCUGGAACGUGCUACUGCUUCAGUCCUUCCUCUGAUUUCCCCCAGCCCCAGCUCAGGUCGGGGCAGGGUCGACAGCUGGCCAAGAAUAUAAAACUGGCUGUUUGAACCAAUGGCUCUUUCAUGAGCUUAGCCAGGUGUCUGGUGUUGGGCCACAGUCAGUAUAUUCAUCUUUAGAGGCCAGAAGUCCAAGUUGCCUUCUGAGGUUGGUGGAAAGGAGGAGGAGAGGUGAAGAUGACCUCCUUCCCAGAAGGUGGAACCGAGGAUGACCGUCUACUAGCAGCACCCGGGGGACUAGCUCUGCGUCCUGGAACUUCCUUCUCUCAACAGGAAGUGAUGGACUGAAUAACACUUAACGCAAAGUGGGAAGCGGUCCUCCGAGUACAUGCCAGAAUGGUUAUAGACAGAGGGCUAAAGUAGUUGGAAGAAAAUUCUUGUUGAAAUAUUCCCGUCUGUAUUUUAGACAGAUUUCACCUCUGAGGAUAAAAUGAUGUAUUAUAGCAACAACAGCCUAAAUUAAUAAAAGCACAGGAAAAGACUUUAAUAGAAACUGGAAACUUCUGUAACUUUUGCCCAACCCAGAACUUUGGGAGAUGUUAGAUGAGACAUCAGCUACAGAACCUAGAACUGAGAGCAUUUCCCAGGACGUUAGUAACAGGUUUAGCUAAAUAGGACUACGAUUCCUGCUCUCAUAGCUCCUCACUGUUUGCAAAGACAAAUAAUCACCCAGACUACAGAGACCAACACACAACAAAAAGGGAAAUUUAAUCAAUAUUUAAUAAACAUUUUUGAUGCUAAUGAUAACAAUAAGUGUUUUACAUAUUUGAAUCAGUAUGGCAAAAUACCUAUAGGCCUGUAUCAGCCGUGAGAUUACUGGUUUAACGUCCAAAGAAAAAUAAUACUUCAUACCAAUGUGUAUAAACACAUAGGGCUGUCACGCUCUGCACAUGUGGCCACAUAUCAGACUUUGUGCUUUUAAGCACAACCUGAUAUAUUUGAGCUUUACAAAAAACUGUAAGGAAAUGUGUUAUUCCAAGUGUAUGGAUAAAUAAAUUAGAAAGUGGAGUUUUAAAAGAAAAUGUUGAUUGAAUAUAGGGAAAUGAUUUGCCUAAAGUAACACAAUUCAGUGGUUGAGCUGAAAUGAGGAGACCAGUCUCUAGGCUUCCAGUUCACUGUGCCACCUGCAGAGCAGUGGGGGUGCCUCAAAGCUCUCUUCUGAGAGCCUUCACAGGCAGGUGGGGCCUGAAGGAAAUGUGGUCCUCCUGCCUCCCCGCUCUAUCUCAUCCUUCGUCUGCUGUCCUGAGAUUCGAAGGCUGGGAGGGUUAUGAGGUUUCAUUUGAGACAGCUAUUUGGCUUCCCCUAACUCCCUGAUGAGGGAAACCACGGAAGAUGUGUUUCUGCAGAGUGAUGACACUGGUCAUUGUGGGUGAGAUGAAGAAGAAUUUUAUCACUCUAAUGAUUGAGAAUUGUUUGCAAAUGAUGAUGUAUACGCAUCCAUAAUCAGGAAUGGACAAGAGAAAUGGUGUGAGAAGAGAGAGGGAACAGGGAGGAAGAGAUGCUCCACAGAGUGGAAAAGAGCAAGAGGAGGAAUGAUUGGGAAAUAAAUACAUGUCGCUUAGUGGUUUCCAGACAUUGAAUGAGUAUAAUUCUGAUAACUCUUUCAAUAAAUAUAUUUAUUCUCUCUAAUACAUCCUUUUAAAAGUUUUAAAAAUUGUGGUAAAAUACAAAUGACAAAAGUUUCCAUCCUCAUCAUUUUAAGCCGUAUAGUUCAGUGGCGAUAAGUGUAUUCAGAUUGUUGUGCAACCAUCACCACCAUCCAUCUCCAGAACUCUUUUCAUCUUGCAAAACUGAAACUCCGUAUCCGCUAAACGCUAACUCCCCAUUGCCUCCUGCCCCAGCCCCUGGCAACCACCAUCUACUUUCUGUCUCAAGGAAUUUGACCACUCUAUACCUCAUAUAGAUGGAAUCAUACACUAUUUGUUCUUUUGUGUCUGGCUUAUUUCACUUAGCAUAAUGUCCUCAAGGUUCAUCCAUGUUGUAGCAUUUGUCAGAAUUCUCUUUUUAAGGCUGAAUAAUAAGAAUUCCAUUGUAUAUAUACCACAUUUUGUUUAUGCAUUCAUCUGUCAAUGAACAUUUGGGUUGCUUCCACCUUUUGGCUUUGUCAAUUAUGCUGCUAUGAACACGGGUGUACUCAUAUCUGUCAAGUCCCUGUUUUCCAUUCUUUUGGGUAUAUACCCAGAAGUAGAAUUGCUGGAUCAUAUGGUAAUUCUAUUUUUAAAAAUUUUUAAUGGUGGUUAAAAAAAAACCCACAUAACACAAAUUUAUCAUCUUACCAAUUUCUAAGUGUACAGUUCAGUAGUAGUCAUCUAUUUUUAAUUUUUUGAGGAUCCACCAUGCUGUUUCCGUAGUCUGUAAUACGUUCUUGUGUUCCUCAUCAGCAAACGAGAUGAUACAAGAGAAGCUCUUCUGAGUAAAUUUGAAUUCAAUAAUUAUUAACUAACAAGAACAGCACCAGUGAUAAAAGUAGUACUAAUGAUGCUGGUGACAAUUUAUGGGGAACUUUCUAUGGAACCCUGUGCCGGGCACUAUAGAUGAUGUAAAGACCUGUUGGACACUCUCUUUGCCUUCACUGAGCUUAUAAUCUCCCUGGAGGGACAAACAUGGGGGCACCGAACUCGUAAUUUAAGCAGAAGCAGAAGUGCACACAGAGGUGUGCCGGAGCUGGGGCACCUGUCGGCAAGAGCCCAUCGGUGGGUGCAUCUCUUCCCAACUCCAGGUUUGGUGAUGUCACAGUCAGCCAGGGUGGGAGUGUUCAGAAGAAAGGAAUCACAAACAGUACAAGUCAGGGCUUGUUUUCCUCCCCAAAGAGCUGGUUUCUAAACAUUUACCAGCAUGCCACUGAGCACACCUAACUGAGCUCCAGGCUUUCAAGGAGAAAUGACAGUGGGAGAAGGUCUGUGGAGCACCCAUUACUCUUCUACACAUCCUCUGAAAUUCAGUCAGAAGUGCACAUUGAUGAUCCCACGUGCUGGGAUCAAAUCAAGUGAGUUAGACAACGGGCGGACCAUCUUUAAAGUGAGGGUAGCACAGCAAAACGCUGAUAAAAAUGCUGCGCUGAGGACAGGAAAAUCUCUCUAUUCCAGACAUUUUCUUGUUCAGCUCAACCUAAAUUAUCAAAAUCACUAAAACCAAACUUGUCCUUCAGAGAUUAUUGCACUAAUUGAUAAAAUAAUGUUGUAAAUGAGUUGAUUAUACAUCAAAAAAUUUUGUAAAUUGUAGUGCUAUACAAAAUCAAAAAUAUAGUAAUAAAAUAUUUGUAAAGAAAAAAGUGAGAGUCCACAAUUUCCACUAAUUUCAUUUUCUUUUUGUUUUAAUUACAUGAAUUGCCUUUAAAAUAAUUAUUGAACCAUUAAGUGUUUAUAAAAGGCAUUUGUUGUCUGAAUAAGACACUCUAGGUUUUUGUAGGUUUUGCACAAUCUUAAAUAUAAAUACAAAGAAGUCAGACUUACAUCUGUGAAAUGGGAAAGGGAUGUAUGCUUACUAUUUAUCCUCUGAUAGAGGAUUUCUAGCCAGCUGGAGCUUCCGGUGAUGUUGCUAAAACGUUCACAGUAACUACCUAUAUUUGACUUUGGCACCUUUUUAAAAGUCAAAAGAGGCAUUUGCAAGGAGCCAUAAAAAGUCGUUACAUAUGCAGAACAAUUGAAGCUCCUCAGCAUCUGGGGAAGGAAACACAUCUGUCUUCUGUCUAUUUCUUCCCUAAAUGUCUCCCUGAAUCAACUUUUAUGGGGGUAGGGGAGGUAGCAGGGUGUCGUAAAUGUCCCAUUCUGUUGGAAUCCGAGAGGUAACAAUGCCCCUGUGACUAUAAACACAAGAGGUUGCAUUCAGGAAAGAGAUGCACUCAGGGAAGCAGAGAUCUUUGUGACAGUGGCCUCGGUGUGGGCCACAGGCCAGCUAAUCACAUUACCAUGAGAGCCAAGAGGUGGCCCGCAGACAGUGAAAUAAAGAGGAAGGGAAAAGCACGACUAAUCUCGUUAAAAGGAAAGCUAAGAUGGACGCUGCUUUUACAUAGCUGCUUCAAACGCCCCGUUUUCCCAGGGCUGGGUCACCUGUGCGUCCUGGGCAGCACGGGCUGGUUUGGGAGCAUUGUUCUGUCCUGCCAAAUGCUGGGGCCUCACAGCUCACUCAGACCUUGUCUUCAGAGUAUUCUUUUUAAGAACAAACGGAUAUUCCCCCAGCCGCCCCCGAAAAAAUGCCUUUUGGAGACACUGUUUUCCUUCAUUUUCCUAUUUUCAUUUACUAUUUCCCAAAUUAUCUAAAAGAACUAAAUCCUCCAAUGACUUGAACAGAAAGUCAAGCGCUGCGUGUUUUCUGCAACUUUGAGGAAAGAAGAACUCAAAAGAAAGCUGAGGAAAUCCACUAGAUCAUUGAUUCUCCAAGUGCGGUCCACGGAUCCCUGGGCACUUUCGGGGGGUCCUUCAGGUUUUCCCUUUCCAACUGCACUUCUGUGGGAGGCCCGGCUUUUGUAAAUGUGUCAGCCCAACCAACAGACUACGACACAUUGAAGCAGAUGUGAGAACCCAGCUGUUAAAGAGAUUUGCCAACUAGAAAGCAAGACGUUAAAGAGAUGGCAAAAAUGGAAAAGCAC